UUUUACCAUUUAUAGAUAUAGAAAUGAAUCAAUUUCAAAAAAUUUUUUCUAAUAUUUCAGGUAAUAUAUUUUUAAAUUCAUACUAACAUUGAAGAUCCAGUCUAAAUCAACAAGACAUUCUGGGAAAUUUUAUAAUAAUUGUUUUUUUUUUAACUGGUUGACUCCAUGUAUUUAACUGAUCAUGUUACAUGUAACUGGUUCCUUUUAUAGAAACCAAGUACAGGCCACCUUUUCUGAAAAUCAAAUCACAUGAGAUAUGGCUUGUCAUCUUGCAGUCACAGAUUCAGCUUAUUGAGAUCUUGCUGCUGCUCUAAGUCAUAGGCUGUCAUUUAGCAAAUGGCCAUAAGUUUUAUUUUGUUGAAGUUGCUAACGACUUAUGAGAUAGUGUUAAAUUAACAAUUGUGUUUUAGUGAGACAGGCUUAGUGUAGACUUUCAGUUUGCCUGCUUGAGAAGAGUUGACAGUUGUUAUGAAGGCUAAUUAUCUAGGUGCUCUAGACAAAGACCUCAGUGGAUUUUAUUGCUGAAGUAACAGUGCUUUGUUAUUUAAAGAAUUAUUGUUUUCAAGCAUAAUGUUAGGUAACAUGUAUUAAAAGUUAAAAUUAGUGUGAGUGUAGAUAUAAUUAUGAAAAUAUCUUCAAUCUAAUGAAAGGUUUUUUUUACAAAAAAAAAAGUUGUUUUCCUAGAGCUAUAGUGAAGUGGGUUAGGAUUUAGUUUCUUCA